GUAAGGUUAUAUGAGUAAGUCCUGAUAAGCUACACAAGACGACCAACUUAUUUUCACAGAAUGUAUUCACAUUUUAAAAAAGUAAAUGAUACUACGUUUCCAGUUGCAUGUAUUUUCCACUGAACACAAGAUCACUGAGCUAGUGCAGUUGCCAAGAGCUAUUCAUGCAUAAAAAUACUUGGAAACACUUCAAAUAUUGUACUUGGUAUUUUGUUGAAUCCUGUCACAAAGAGCAACUCGAGAGUGGAAUAUAACAAGUGUCCACUUGAGUGGUUGGACUCUUAGACAUUUCCUGUUGAAAUGUUUGUUGGGUGAUGUCGUAAUGUUUUGUGACGCCAUGUUUUGUGUUGCAAUGUUUUGUGUUUCAAUACUUCGUCCGGUUGUGUGUUGCAAUUGUAUUUUUACACACGGUGUCCGAGUGUCCGCCAUUUUCAGUUAUCUCAUCAUUCUGUAAUGUCUCUGAAAGGCUCUCCUUCAUCCCUUCUUAGUGUAACCUUGCUUCCCUCACCUUCUCUGCAAUGUCUACUGCCCCACAUCUUCUGAUCUCUUCAUCCCAUAAUGUCUCUGACAGACCCUCGUUCAUCUGUUCUGAUUACGUGUCCAUACCAUUUCAACCUUGAUUAUCUUCUCUGCAAUGUCUACCACCCCGGAUAUUAUUCUGAUCUCUUCAUUUCAUAAUGUCUCUGACCAGCUCUCCUUCAUCUCUUCUUAUUACGUGUUCAUACCAUCUCAGCCUUGCUUCCCUCGCCUUCUCUGCAAUGUCUAUCACCCCACAUAUAUUAUUCUGACCUCGACCUCUUCGAUCACGUAUUUUUAGAUGUUUCUAAGUGCAAACCAAAACAAUGAAAAUUCAUUCUACUUUUUAUUUCGCUACGGCCUAGACUUUAUUUGCCUACAUACAUACUAAAGCACGCAUUUGCCGCCAUAAAAACUACA